rnacentral:RNase_P_RNA from 1 species
CCAGGUAGACAAGGUAAUCGCCCCCCAGAAUGCAUUCUGGGGGGAGGAAAGUCCGAACACCUUCUCUUUCCAGAUACACAUCUGGAGGGAGAAACGCUCCGGGUAACGCCCGGCCACCGUAAGGUGAGGGGUGCGAACAGAGACGGGCUUGGCCGCAAGGUCAAGCCGCCCUGCCAGAAAAUAUUCUGGUGGGGAGAGUCCUACCGCAAGGUAGGGGUGAAACGGCUAAAUCCCGGCGGGGUGCAAUCUCCAUCGUCAUUUUAAUAAUGUGGAGAGCUUGAGCCUUGGGGUAACUCAAGGCCCAGACAGAUGAUUACCUAAAACAGAAUUCGGCUUAUUGUCUACCUGGCUUU